GGAGGGGAAGGGGAAAUUCCUUGUUUUAGCGGGGGAAAUGGGUUGAAGAUUAGGAAGAACCCCCCCGGGGCGAGGGCGGUUUCUUUGGACUGUAACUGACGCUGAGGCUCGAAAAGCGGGGGGAGCAAACCAGAAUUAGAUACCCCUGGUAGUCCACGCCGUAAACGAUGAAUACUAGGUGUAGGGGUGUUCAUGACCUCUGUGCCGCCGCUAACGCAUUAAGUAUUCCGCCUGGGGAGUACGGUCGCAAGAUUAAAACUCAAAGGAAUUGACGGGGACCCGCACAAGCGGUGGAAGCAUGUGGUUUAAUUCGACGCAACGCGAAGAACCUUACCAGCUCUUGACAUCUUCUGUUCACCCUAGAGAUAGGGCUUCCCCUUCGGGGGCAGAAAGACAGGUGGUGCAUGGUUGUCGUCAGCUCGUGUCGUGAGAUGUUGGGUUAAGUCCCAUAACGAGCGCAACCCUUAUUGCUAGUUGCUAACAGGUCAUGCUGAGGACUCUAGUGAGACUGCCGUCGUAAGAUGUGAGGAAGGAGGGGAUGACGUCAAAUCAGCACGGCCCUUAUGUCCAGGGCGACACACGUGUUACAAUGGGAGGAUCAACGGGCAGCUACCUAGCGAUAGGAUGCUAAUCUCUAAACCCUCUCUCAGUUCGGAUUGAAGUCUGCAAUUCGACUUCAUGAAGCUGGAUUCGCUAGUAAUCGCGCAUCAGCCACGGCGCGGUGAAUACGUUCCCGGGCCUUGUACACACCGCCCGUCA
rnacentral:rRNA from 1 species